rnacentral:rRNA from 1 species
GACGAACGCUGGCGGCGUGCUUAACACAUGCAAGUCGAACGGAAAGGCCCUGCUUUUGUGGGGUGCUCGAGUGGCGAACGGGUGAGUAACACGUGAGUAACCUGCCCUUGACUUUGGGAUAACUUCAGGAAACUGGGGCUAAUACCGGAUAGGAGCUCCUGCUGCAUGGUGGGGGUUGGAAAGUUUCGGCGGUUGGGGAUGGACUCGCGGCUUAUCAGCUUGUUGGUGGGGUAGUGGCUUACCAAGGCUUUGACGGGUAGCCGGCCUGAGAGGGUGACCGGCCACAUUGGGACUGAGAUACGGCCCAGACUCCUACGGGAGGCAGCAGUGGGGAAUAUUGCGCAAUGGGCGGAAGCCUGAUGCAGCAACGCCGCGUGCGGGAUGACGGCCUUCGGGUUGUAAACCGCUUUCGCCUGUGACGAAGCGUGAGUGGCGGUAAUGGGUAAAGAAGCACCGGCUAACUACGUG